CCAGCGGCUGGCAGUGGGGUUGGAGCUCCUGCCCCAAUUUCACUCACCUGAAGGGGUCCUUUCCUUCAGAUGAGGAAACAUCAACUGAGACUGUGUCUCAUGGUUAAGCUGUGCCCCUGCAUUGGAUACCAAAAAAGAAACACAAGGCCUGUUGGCCUCUGUAUUUUCUGCAAGCAGGAAAAAAGACAUCGAACUUAGAAGAGCAUGCAAGCAUCAGGGAAACACAUUUGGAAGGCAUCCAUAGGCCUAAGAGUUGAAGAUCUAAAAACAAAACAAGGUGUCUUAACGUGGUUCAUCAAAAAUAUGUUUCCUAUUCUCAUACUCACUGUUUUAUUGUUGCUAAUGAAAACUGUCUAUAAAGGAAUCUCCUCUAUUAAGUCUAUUUAUUUUUACCAAAUACACCCUAAGAAAGAGAAGAGGAAUAUAAGAAUGUAAGUAUCUAUGCCCCAUACAAAACCAGGCAACUAACCAAGCAAGAAAAACAAAAGUGAAAAAAGGCCAAACCCUAUACUCUCCGGUACUUUUGAGCUGAGUCACAUGUAUUAAAUGAUUUUGACCUA